rnacentral:lncRNA from 1 species
UCCUUUACGGAGCCCUCCCAGCAGUUAGCAGUAAGCACUGACCCUCUCGUGGUGGAAUUCCAAACACCUGUUACCCCAAGCAGCUUGGUGUCAUGGGAAGUGACUGAACUGACUCUGCCAUGAGCUUGCAGAGGGCUCCUCAGGCCAGAACCUUGGGCAGGGCUCGGAACAUUUCUGGACCCAGCUUUCUCCAAAUGUAAAACAAAAGGCUUGAACUCAAUGACCCCUGAAGAAGGGCUUGCAAGGACACAGCCAGCCACUCAGUUAAGAUGGUAAUGAAGCAGCUGUGAAACAAGAGGCCUUUCCAUCUGGGAUCCCAGCUGACCUGACUCCUGCCUAAGCUACUAGAAAACUUUCAAUUAUGAGGCUUACAUUUCUGUUGUACAACACUGCUCUAGAGGAUGAGACAGAAAACAAACUAAUAAGCAAACAAAAAGUUACAAGCAAACAAAAAUGUAAGAAGAUUACAUGUGAUGAAAAGCCCUGGGAAGGAAACCAGCAGGAUGAGAUGCAGGACUGGAGAUGAGGAGCGAGGUCUCUUCAAAUAAAGACAUAUGAGCUGGCACAGUGGCUCACACCUGUAAUCCCAGCACUUUGGGAGGCUGAGGCGGGGGGAUCACUUGAGCCCAGAAGUUUGAGACUAACCUGGGCAAAUGGCGAGACCCCAUCUCUACAAAAAAUUUAAAAAUUAUCCAGGUGUGGUGGCAUGCACCUGUAGUCCCAGUUACUUAGGAGGCUGAAGUGGAAGGAUCACUUUAGCCUGGGUGUAAGUUACAUAUAGUCAACUGCACAAAUCUGAACUGCACCUCAGGAGUGUUCCAUGCCGCUCCCAGUCACUAUGGCUGUGGUGGUGCAUUAGCUACCUAUUGCUUCAAACAACACACGUUGAUCAUCUCACAGUGGCUGUGGCUCGGGAGUCUGGGCACAGUUGAAUGGGUCUUGUCUUCAGGGUCUCAUCAGGCUGCAGUCAACAGACACACACACGCACAUACGCACACUCCCCACUUCUCAUUUCACUCCGGGAGGUUCUAAACACCAG